rfam:Heterocephalus glaber contig48082, whole genome shotgun sequence.
GCCCGCUGGGUCCAGAGGUUCUUAACAGUUCAACAGUUCUGUAGCGCAAUUGUGAAAUGUUUAGGACCACUAGACCCGGC